UGCAGCUUGUUUUGAGUAGGUAAUGUUCUUUACUGUGUUGAGUGAAAGGGGGAUAUAAAAUGACUGUCACCAUCGUAAGUAUAAGCAUUCAUGAUAGAGAAAUGCAGCCUUUAAUUCGCAUUAAACAACUACAACUUAAAAGGUAGGUUGACCGUUGGUUUUAAUAUUAUACCUAAUAUUCACAGGUUAAUGUUCUGGACGGAUAUUGGCUUUGGUGCGCACGUGGGACGUGCUAAUAUGGAUGGGCGUAAGCGAAAAAGAAUAAUUACAACUGAGAUUAAAUCCCCAAAUGGAAUUGCCAUCGACUUCGAAGAGGACCUGCUGUUUUGGUCUGACGGUGUUCGAGACGUCAUAGAGAGGUGCAGUCUCGUUGGAGCUGACAGACAAGUACUUGUGAGGGAUCCUGAUGCUUUCAUCAUGGCGCUCGUCAUCGACGGAGACAAGCUGUAUUACACCGCAUGGAACAGAGGAGGCAUUACUGUCGUAAACAAGGCGGACGGAUCCAACAAACAUUUUUUAAUGGAGUCACCAGUAUUUGUCGAACUCGACGACUUCCUUAUCGUGCGACCUAACAAAGG